AAAACGCGAAAAGUAAGUACAUUCGCGAAAACCACAACAUUUCUAUAUUACACUGCGAAUAUAUCCCCGAAAAGUACCAUUACAGUAGAAUCCCGCCGAUGCGAGCCCCCUCUGAUGCGUCCAUUCCGUUUAUAUUGUCACGGUCUGAAAAUUUCAUUACCUUUUUUUCUUAAAUUUUAUUGUAAUUUUGUUUCUCGUCAGGUUUACGUGUUGGUGUACGUGCACGUUUCCAGGCUCGGCCGGUUGAUUUCGACACGCGGGUAUGGGAAUAUAGGUUGCUGCGACAUUAGUUUACAGGCACCGCGGGCUUUUGCGAAGCUGCGUGGUUAGCUAAUUCUCGCGGGUUGCUGGCCAGGGCCCGCUGAGAGGUUGCAACACGCCGUUCCAGAAAAACCUGCUACGCUACGCUAGUCUCUUGUUUGUCGCGCGAGGCUUUUGAGUACGCGUUUCGAGGACUCUGUCCUGAUUAGUGAUGCCAUCUUGUGUCCGAGUUUGGAAACGUAGACGGAAAAAUAACAAUCGAGCAGCGCAAGAGGGAGAGGGGGAAACUCGUGCGCGCCUGCGCGGAAGGAAUAGCUGACUUCACUUGUUUUUCAUUUUUUUCCUUGUGGGAAGGGAGGGGACCGCGAGUUGCCUUGUGGAUAAGUUUUCCCGGUGCUCGUGUGUUUUUUUUUUUUGUUUUUCCGGCAUGGCCUAGUUUUGUAGUUAAAACCUCCUUCCAGGGAGGGGCCGAGGCUUUUUGCCUGGGGACCUCUCUGGAAGCCGAGUCCACGUCGGUUUGAAACAACUUUGCUUCGCCUCAAGUCAGAAGGGUAAGUGGUUGGCCAUGGCUCGUUCGCCACAAUCAUUUCUUGGACGAUCUUCGUCUUAAUCUUUUAAGUAAUAAUGUAGUAUUCCACCUCUAUUAUUUAUUAUUUGGUUUUGGGAAAAAUCGACGUCUGGUUAUAAGCAUGCAGGUAGUGGUAACUGGGAAGUAUACUAUCCUUCCGCGUAGCUGUGACGACGAGAGAACCGCCAUGUUGUAGAGAUAAUUGUUUGCCGGCUGACGUCACUUUAAUGUGUAUUUAAUGUAUUUAUUUAUUCGUUAAUCCCAUCCCAUUGUAAAAUGCUUUAUUAUUAAUUUGUUAAUCAAAUAUUUGGUUGAUUAUUAUUAUUUUUUUUUAUUAUCCUAGUGAAUAAAAUCUGUGCUUGAAUGAACUAAUCAUGUUUCUUUUCAGUACAUAAAUUAUACCCUACACUUCCUGUAUAGGGAGAAGACUUGAUCUCGAGUACCAUGCUUACCAACAGCUACCACCCCCCAAAUGUUAUAGGUUAUUUAUUGUUGUGUGUAUAGGUGUACGCGGGACGUCUGACGGAGCCCCGUCACAAGUGGUGUGAGGCGCCGAUUAAUAGUCUCUUGUAGGGUCGUUUGUGCUUUAUUUUUUUCUCUCUCUUCUCUUGUUCUUCCGAAUUUAAUAAUGUUUUAUUAUAGAGCAGUGCAAGCAGGGUCGUGUGGGAGCACGCGGCGGACGUGUUGCGUUGUGCUUCACGUAUUUUUAUUAGUAAUGUUACUGUUGUUCUGUUUAAAUUUAAUGGAUAAAAAGUUUUUGGUUUAGUUAAGUUAAGUCAGUGAGUCAGUCAGUCAGUCAUCGGGUCGUUCAGGUCACCUAUCAGGUUUUAUUAAGUUUUAAUUACGUAAAUUCUAAUGCCAGUUUAAUGAUUAAUUAAUUAAUUUUGAAAAUUAUCAUAAUUAAAUUUCGGUUAAGAAUCUAAGAGUUUGUGUGGAGUUUUUGGUUUAGGAACGAUGUUAAAACUUGUGUUAAGUAAUGUUAUAGACAGUGCUUGUUGCGGACGUGGAAAGUCAUGUGUCGUGGAGCGGUGACGAGCGGCGCGACGGUCAGCUGUGCGCUGACCUUGAGCGGUUUCCGGCCUGGCGCGACACGGCUCGGCACGGCGCGGCAAGAAUCGUUCCGGCCCGGUGUUUACCGGCCGGCUGGACGUCAGACAGAUAAGAGUUUCACAGUUAUUUUUUUUUAAUGAUUAAUUUUAUGUGCGUCAUUGACUACACCACACCGUCUAAGUUUUUUUUUUUUUUUGAGUUAACUUAAUUUUAAAGUAUUUAUUUAUGUGUCAUUAUAAUUAUUUUUGUUUUGAUAAUAAGAAUUUUUUUUUUUUUGAACUUUUCUUUUUGAAUUAUAGGAGGUACACAUUAGAAGGGAUUAGCUCUGAGAAUAGUGUGAGGUUUGUUUAUUUGUGUAGGUUAAGGGAAUGAACUCCAGGGGAACAGUUUUUGAGAUGAGAGAGUUGUUGUGAUUGUCCAGCCAUAGGAGAUGAGCUGGGACAAUUUGAGGUGUCCCUGGGAGAGUAGGGACGGUAGCGCAGACCCAUAGAAGAUGGGCUGGCUACUGGUUAAGGGUCGGGAGAACCCUGUGUUGUUAGUAGUUGGGGCAGGAGUUCCCCAUGGUAGUACCGGAAGUGGCUAUCCCGUACGGGAUAAGGGUACCACUUCAAUUAAUUUGGUUUGUGGGGUUAGAGUCCCCUGUUGUGUAGUGGGCCUAUAGGAGAUAGGCACUACAGCGAAAUUUUUGGUUGCUCUGGAGGUAAAUUCCCUGGGUUAAGUUAAGGAAUUGUUCUUAAAGUUAGGAAGUAGUGAAAUGUGAAUCAUUGUUGGAGAGUGAGUUAGUGUACCUGCCUACGUAUUAAAAUAAAUUUUAUUGAAUUAAUUUAUGAGAAAGUUUAUUGUGUUAAGGAUAAUGGAAGUGAGUUAAUUUUUUUUAAAAUUGGUUUUCUGAGUAAAGUGUUUUAAGUAAUGAAGUUAAAUAAUUAAGUGAGUGGGGACAGUUAUGAUUGAGUAUUUUUGAAUUUAUUUUGUUUAUCAUACUUGGAAUGUAAUGUUUUAAUUUGUUCUCUCAACAUAAUUAAAAUUUAAAUAAGUUUUUUUUACAGUGCCCCUUAUACAUUUAUUGACACAAGAGAUAACAGUUCAAAGUAUUUAUUUUUUUACACGAAAAUUUGUAUUUAGAUUUGUGAUACAGAGAAAUUUUUUUUUAAUGAGUUGUUUUGUUUGUGAUUGAUUCUUAUCGGUUUUGUGAAAGUAGUGUUACAGUAAUCAGUUCAGUGGUGACCUGGGACUGGCUUCAUGACUAAGAAGACUGAGCAUGGGGUUGCUGGCUGCACAUCAGAGUGAAUCUGAUGGCACCACCAGUAGCUGUUGUUUCGAGGUGUUGCUGUUUUCACCAGACGAGACCAACCAGCUGCUUGCUGCCUACAGCAUAGCAGAUUUUCACUGGGGAGACAUCCCCGAUGACAUGCUGCGAGGAAGGCAGGCUGAGGGCAGAACUGCUCUGAAGGCUGGAUCCUGGGUGUGAGCUGCAGAUCACACUUCAAGGACUCUUCUCUCCAGCUUCAACUAGGGCUGAUCUGUCCACGGUUCAUGCCUCUCCUAGUUGUAUGUCGUACGAGUAGUUUUACGAUGUGCCAGCCACCAUCGAUUCUUACAGGAAAGAAAUGUUUCCUGGGCUAUUUUGUAUUUUGUAUUGGUUUAACUUUUUCAGUUUAGACUUUGAAUGUAAUUGUUGUGGUAAAACCUAACCUUCGUGCGCUGUCUUGGUCGAGUAGGCAUUUAACUUAUAAAUUUUUGCCCCUUGGUCUUAUUCAUUGUUAGGAAUUUUUAUGGCUUGUGGGGCACAAGCCCUUGUAGACCGGGGUAAUGUCACGGUCUGAAAAUUUCAUUACUUUUUUUUCUUAAAUUUUAUUGUAAUUUUGUUUCUCGUCAGGUUUACGUGUUGGUGUACGUGCACGUUUCCAGGCUCGGCCGGUUGAUUUCGACACGCGGGUAUGGGAAUAUAGGUUGCUGCGACAUUAGUUUACAGGCACCGCGGGCUUUUGCGAAGCUGCGUGGUUAGCUAAUUCUCGCGGGUUGCUGGCCAGGGCCCGCUGAGAGGUUGCAACACGCCGUUCCAGAAAAACCUGCUACGCUACGCUAGUCUCUUGUUUGUCGCGCGAGGCUUUUGAGUACGCGUUUCGAGGACUCUGUCCUGAUUAGUGAUGCCAUCUUGCGUCCGAGUUUGGAAACGUAGACGGAAAAAUAACAAUCGAGCAGCGCAAGAGGGAGAGGGGGAAACUCGUGCGCGCCUGCGCGGAAGGAAUAGCUGACUUCACUUGUUUUUCAUUUUUUUCCUUGUGGGAAGGGAGGGGACCGCGAGUUGCCUUGUGGAUAAGUUUUCCCGGUGCUCGUGUGUUUUUUUUUUUGUUUUUCCGGCAUGGCCUAGUUUUGUAGUUAAAACCUCCUUCCAGGGAGGGGCCGAGGCUUUUUGCCUGGGGACCUCUCUGGAAGCCGAGUCCACGUCGGUUUGAAACAACUUUGCUUCGCCUCAAGUCAGAAGGGUAAGUGGUUGGCCAUGGCUCGUUCGCCACAAUCAUUUCUUGGACGAUCUUCGUCUUAAUCUUUUAAGUAAUAAUGUAGUAUUCCACCUCUAUUAUUUAUUAUUUGGUUUUGGGAAAAAUCGACGUCUGGUUAUAAGCAUGCAGGUAGUGGUAACUGGGAAGUAUACUAUCCUUCCGCGUAGCUGUGACGACGAGAGAACCGCCAUGUUGUAGAGAUAAUUGUUUGCCGGCUGACGUCACUUUAAUGUGUAUUUAAUGUAUUUAUUUAUUCGUUAAUCCCAUCCCAUUUUAAAAUGCUUUAUUAUUAAUUUGUUAAUCAAAUAUUUGGUUGAUUAUUAUUAUUUUUUUUUAUUAUCCUAGUGAAUAAAAUCUGUGCUUGAAUGAA